rnacentral:rRNA from 1 species
CAGCAGCCGCGGGAAAACGAAGGGUGCAAGCGUUACUCGGAAUUACUGGGCGUAAAGCGUGCGUAGGUGGUUGUUUAAGUCUGCUGUGAAAGCCCUGGGCUCAACCUGGGAAUUGCAGUGGAUACUGGGCGACUAGAGUAAGGUAGAGGAUAGUGGAAUUUCCGGUGUAGCAGUGAAAUGCGUAGAGAUCGGAAGGAACAUCUGUGGCGAAGGCGACUAUCUGGGCCAUUACUGUCACUGAGGCACGAAAGCGUGGGGAGCAAACAGGAUUAGAUACCCCCGUAGUCCCUGUCUCUUAUAU